UACGUAGGGUGCGAGCGUUGUCCGGAAUUAUUGGGCGUAAAGGGCUCGUAGGCGGUCCAUCGCGUCGGGAGUGAAAAGCUGGGGCUUAACCCCAGUCCUGCUUUCGAUACGGGUGGACUAGAGGUAGGCAGGGGAGAAUGGAAUUCCUGGUGUAGCGGUGAAAUGCGUAGAUAUCAGGAGGAAUACCGGUGGCGAAAGCGACUCUCUGGACGGUAACUGACGCUGAGGCACGAAAGCGUGGGGAGCAAACAGG
rnacentral:rRNA from 1 species